GUACAAUGUAGCCGCACUACACCAUGGGCUAGUGAGAGCCGGGAGGAGCGACCAUGGCGGAGGAAGGACACAAAGAAAGCAGCUCAAGACCAAGAUGAAGAGAUAGAGGAUCUGAUAAAACCUGCUCCAAGGUACUGACCAGACUUUGGUUUUAUAGAACGCCUUGAUAUGAAGCUGAGAGAGCGAGCGCCUUUGCUGGUGCCAGCGUGGGAAAGGUCUGAGCAGCAAGAGACAAG